rnacentral:rRNA from 1 species
UACAGAGGGGGCAAGCGUUGUUCGGAAUUACUGGGCGUAAAGGGCGCGUAGGCGGCCUUCUAAGUCGAACGUGAAAUCCCCGGGCUCAACCCGGGAACUGCGUCCGAUACUGGAAGGCUUGAAUCCGGGAGAGGGAUGCGGAAUUCCAGGUGUAGCGGUGAAAUGCGUAGAUAUCUGGAGGAACACCGGUGGCGAAAGCGGCUCACUGGAUCGAAACUGACGCUGAGGUGCGAAAGCUAGGGUAGCAAACGGG